rnacentral:rRNA from 1 species
GACGAACGCUGGCGGCGUGCUUAACACAUGCAAGUCGAACGGAAAGGCCCUGCUUUUGUGGGGUGCUCGAGUGGCGAACGGGUGAGUAACACGUGAGUAACCUGCCCUUGACUUUGGGAUAACUUCAGGAAACUGGGGCUAAUACCGGAUAGGAGCUCCUGCUGCAUGGUGGGGGUUGGAAAGUUUCGGCGGUUGGGGAUGGACUCGCGGCUUAUCAGCUUGUUGGUGGGGUAGUGGCUUACCAAGGCUUUGACGGGUAGCCGGCCUGAGAGGGUGACCGGCCACAUUGGGACUGAGAUACGGCCCAGACUCCUACGGGAGGCAGCAGUGGGGAAUAUUGCACAAUGGGCGGAAGCCUGAUGCUGCAACGCCGCGUGCGGGAUAACGGCCUUCGGGUUGUAAACCGCUUUCGCCUGUGACGAAGCGUGAGUGACGGUAAUGGGUAAAGAAGCACCGGCUAACUACGUG